AUUGAACGCUGGCGGCAUGCCUUACACAUGCAAGUCGAACGGCAGCGGACCUUCGGGUGCCGGCGAGUGGCGAACGGGUGAGUAAAGUAUCGGAACGUACCUUUCAGUGGGGGAUAACGUAGCGAAAGUUACGCUAAUACCGCAUAUUCUGUGAGCAGGAAAGCAGGGGAUCGCAAGACCUUGCGCUGAUUGAGCGGCCGAUAUCAGAUUAGCUAGUUGGUGAGGUAAAGGCUCACCAAGGCGACGAUCUGUAGCGGGUCUGAGAGGAUGAUCCGCCACACUGGAACUGAGAAACGGUCCAGACUCCUACGGGAGGAAGCAGUGGGGAAUUUUGGACAAUGGGGGCAACCCUGAUCCAGCCAUGCCGCGUGAGUGAAGAAGGCCUUCGGGUUGUAAAGCUCUUUCGUCCGGGAAGAAAUCGCAUCAGCUAAUACCUGGUGUGGAUGACGGUACCGGAAUAAGAAGCACCGGCUAACUACGUGCCAGCAGCCGCCGUAA
rnacentral:rRNA from 1 species